UGAGUACGAGACGCUAAGGCGUCGAAGUAGUGUAUGUCAUACUUCCAAGAAAAGCUUGCACUGUCAUUCAUAAAAAAUGCCUGUACCAUAACCGACACAGGUGGGUAGGUAGAGUAUACUAAGGGGCGCGAGAUAACUCUCUCUAAGGAACUCGGCAAAAUAACUCCGUAACUUCGGGAGAAGGAGUGCCUUAUUUAUAUAAGGUUGCAAUAACAAGAUCCAAGCAACUGUUUACCAAAAACACAGGUCUCCGCUAAGUCGUAAGACGAUGUAUGGGGGCUGACGCCUGCCCAGUGCCAGAAGGUUAAAGAAGUUGGUUAGCAAUAGCGAAGCUGAUAACUGAAGCCCUGGUGAACGGCGGCCGUAACAAUAACGGUCCUAAGGUAGCGAAAUUCCUUGUCGGGUAAGUUCCGACCCGCACGAAAGGCGUAAUGAUUUGGAUACUGUCUCGGAGAGGGACUCGGUGAAAUAGACUUGUCUGUGAAGAUGCGGACUACCUGCACCUGGACAGAAAGACCCUAUGAAGCUUUACUGUAACUUGAAAUUGAAAUUGGACUUUAUUCGCGCAGUAUAGGUGGGAGGCGUUGAAAAUAAUCUUGCGGGACUAUUGGAGCCAUCAGUGAGAUACCACUCUUAUAAUGUCAGAUUUCUAACUUUGAAUCAUUAUCUGGUCAAAGAACAGUUUCAGGCGGGCAGUUUGACUGGGGCGGUCGCCUCCCAAACGGUAACGGAGGCGUACAAAGGUUUCCUCUGAACGGGUAGAAAUCGUAUCUAGAGUAUAAAGGCAAAAGGAAGCUUGACUGUGAGACCUACAAGUCGAGCAGGGACGAAAGUCGGUCUUAGUGAUCUGACGGUACUGAGUGGAAAGGCCGUCACUCAACGGAUAAAAGUUACUCUAAGGAUAACAGGCUGAUCUCCCCCAAGAGUUCACAUCGACGGGGAGGUUUGGCACCUCGAUGUCGGCUCAUCGCAUCCUGGGGCGGUAGUACGUCCCAAGGGUUGGGCUGUUCGCCCAUGAAAGCGGUACGCGAGCUGGGUUCAGAACGUCGUGAGACAGUUCGCUCCAUAUCCGGUGUAGGCGUUAGAAUAUUGAGAGGAGCCUUCUUUAGUACGAGAGGACCGAGAAGGACAUACCUCUGGUGUACCAGUUAUCGUGCCAACGGUAAACGCUGGGUAGCUAUGUAUGGAGUGGAUAACCGCUGAAAGCAUCUAAGUGGGAAGCCCACCUCAAGAUGAGUAUUCUC
rnacentral:rRNA from 1 species